rnacentral:lncRNA from 1 species
CAAAGAAAGUUUUUGAAAAGAGGGAGAGAUUUUGAAAUUUAAGAAGUGGGAAGAGAUGAAGGGACUAUCCUAGACAAAGAUUAAAAGUUAAGAGUUGAAAAUAUCUGACCAAAUGGGAUGCAAUCCAACAGACAAGAAUGUCAUAUAGAAACCUAUUCUCCCUUGGACUUUAGCAAGAAACAAGCAUAGGCAAUGUCCAAGGCAUCAAAUAAAGAUAGCCAUAAUAUCCAAGCAAGCACUCCAAUAGCUAGCAAUCUUCAAAUGUCUUCA